AGUGAACGCUGGCGGCGUGCUUAACACAUGCAAGUCGAACGAGAACGGGUUAUAGCUUGCUAUAAUUGUCAGCUAAGUGGCGCACGGGUGAGUAAUGUAUAGGUAAUAUGCCUCUUACUAAGGGAUAACAAAUGGAAACGUUUGCUAAUACCUUAUACUCCUUAUUAACCUAAGUUAAUAAGGGAAAGAUUUAUUGGUAAGAGAUUAGCCUGUAUUGUAUCAGUUAGUUUGUGGGGUAAUGGCUUACCAAGACUAUGACACAUAACUGGUUUGAGAGGAUGAUCAGUCACACUGGAACUGAGACACGGUCCAGUCUCCUACGGGAGGCAGAAGUGGGGAAUAUUGCACAAUGGACGAAAGUCUGAUGCAGCAACGCGGCGUGGAGGAUGACACAGUUCGGUGCGUAAACUCCUUUUAUAUGAGAAGAUAAUGACGGUAUUAUAUGAAUAAGCACCGGCUAACUCCGUGCCAGCCGCCGCAGUAA
rnacentral:rRNA from 1 species